UCUCUCGGCUUCCUUGCCACCCUCUGCACCUCGCCUCCCCCACAGUCUACCGUCUCCUAUUGUUCCGUCAGGAAUGUGCUCCUUCGUGGGCCCUCUUGCCCUGGGCUCGGCACCAACUGUCGCAGUAAACGUCGCGUCUUCGUGCCUGUAUCAGGCGUCUACGAUGUACUGCUGCGUGUGGCUCUUUUACUGUGAUAAUCGGCCUCGUCCGACCGGCCCUCGCAUCAAGGGAAUGGGAUUCGGAACUUAACCCUAAGUUCUAUCGUGGUUCACAAGUCUUGCACCUCACGAGUCGGUUCAGGCCCGCCUUCUACGCUACUGCCCAUGCCCGCAAACGUUUCCAAAGGCCACUGAAAAGUAGUCGUUGAAGCUGAGCGGGUCCAGCGACAGCCGAAGGGCAUCAGGGAGAACGUCUAGGCACCUUUCGGUGGGCAACAGGCGCUGCUAUGAGUCUGUUUGGUAAGAACCUCUGGUCUGAGGGUCACUCGUCAGCUUCGUCACCUAGAGUUGAGUACUCUGGUCGUCAAUGGACUGCCUUUGGAUAAGAUUGAAGACAACUUGGCUUGGAUGAGGAGAUGUUUAGUCACGAGCAGAUGUGAGAGGGUGAAACCUCGCACUGGAAGAAAUAGCGAUGCUGUGCUGCCUCUACCGAGGUGGCCUGUUACAUCGGUUGCGGCUACACUGGGAAGGAUGCAACAUUGGCUCAUAUACGAUCAGUCUCCUGAACAUUUCAACAAGACCGUCAAUGAUUCAUUCUGCCGGAAUCACUCGAGCUGAAGCAUCGUCUUCAAGCUACCUGUGAGCGGGAAUCAUCUGGCAAAUACACGGAAAUGUUCGCUGGAACUGAUAUCACGCUGCCGCGUUUGUCACAUCCUCGGUACCCAGCUUAGUGCAUCAUCUUUCCAGACUCGCCAUUAUACAUCCAACCUCCCCUACCAUCCGUCCAUUCAAUCCCCGGGGCUGCAUGUGGCUAGAAGUUUGUCUAGUCCACAUUGUACCAAUUUCUGCAUUGGAGUCUAGACCAGGUGAAUUAACCUUUGCGCAGUGGGCUCGGUCCCACUACGCGUAGGACGCCACAACCGCAGCCGAUUCCUUCAGGAUGAAAGCUGCGCCCCCCUCGGAGUUUUUGUGGAUGUUUUUUUCCGGUUUGUCAAGUCACUACGUCUUGUCGAAAAACGAAAAACUAGUCCCUGUUGGCAGUGCAUCCCCAUAUCUAUACGGAGAGAGCAGACGUGUGUAACGAUCUCGGGCCUCUUUGACUAAAGCGACAUGAGUGGGGUUCUUUGAUUUGGUUGCGUGAUCUGGUAGCCCCAAUGUGGAGGUGCAGGUUACAUCGGGACUGCGGUAAGCUGCGGGCGCGCGAAGUCUGGCCGGGAGAGUUAUACGAUGCGAAGGUUGCAUGGUCUGGACUCGGCUGUCGCAAAGACUGCCCUACGUAUCGGAACAAAAAAACCUAAACUGACCAGAAGCAAUUUUUUUCCGGGACCCAUCUCGAGUUGGAGUCAAAGUCUUGUACUUGUCUGGAACGCUGAAGGUCUAACCAGGUGUUCUGGUCUAGGUCACAGUUGAGUGGCUAGCUGCAGGCUUAUGCAGAUGGGAGACAUGGGUGCGUCAGUUGAUAGGCGGCCCAGGUUGUCCUCUCUCCAGAAAUGGCGAGGGGACAACCCCCUAGUUUUCCUGG
rfam:Magnaporthe oryzae 70-15 chromosome 6, whole genome shotgun sequence.